UACAGAGGUCCCAAGCGUUGUUCGGAUUCACUGGCGUAAAGGGUGCGCAGGUGGGUUUGCAAGUUCGAUGUGAAAGCCCCGGGCUUAACCCGGGAAUGGCAUUGGAUACUGCAGAUCUGGAGGAUCGGAGGGGGGGCUGGAAUUCUUGGUGUAGCAGUGAAAUGCGUAGAUAUCAAGAGGAACACCAGUGGCGAAGGCGAGUCCCUGGACGAUACCUGACACUGAGGCACGAAAGCUAGGGGAGCAAACAGG
rnacentral:rRNA from 1 species